AUAGCACCUUUUUUUUAUAUUUAGCCAAUUGAUUUUGUGUCUGUUUAGUUUGGUUCCUUCUUGCAAUGGAAAGAUUAUGAACUUGGGGAGUUUCAGAAAGGUUAUGAACUUGCAAGAUAGCACCUUUUUUUAUUGUUAGAGAUGGCACCUUUUUUAUGUUAUCCAAUAAAGAUGUUGUGUCUGUUUAGUUUGCAUCCUUCUUGCAGUUUCUUGAUUUAGUGUUGGAAAGUUCUGAUUUAGUGAGAAAAAACAAUAAAAGGGAAAAGGAAAUAAAAAGACAAAAGAAUAGAUGGAAAGAUUAUGAACAUGUGGAGUUUCAGAGAGAUGAUACUUUGUACUCAUUUCCUUAAAAUAAUUUAGGAUUUUACAAUUAGAUUUUAAGAACUUGUAAUGUUUGUGUGGGGGAGAGGUAUGUAGAGAGUUUGGCUUGAGAAGUAAAGCAAAAAGAAGGUCCAUUGGAGAGUGCCGAGCAGCGUGGGAAGAGAGAACGUUUGUGUUAGUUAUCAGAUAGCCGAUCUCCUUAGCUACACCUACAAUUGUAUUUCUGUUUGAAAACAAAUUUGAAAGAUCCUUUAGUUGUUCAUUUAGGUCUUUCAUGAAAAGAACUUAAUAAAACUUCCACUGAGUCAAUAGCUCCUUUAAGUACAUAACAGGAACUUACAUGAUGUAAUUGAAAGUUAACAUUCAUUUUUAGGUGCUUAAUAAAUCAAUCAUUGCUAUUCACUUGAUUGCUUGCUCUUCUUUGGAUGAACCUGGAUAUAAGAGGAAUGUAGGAAUUUUUUAACCAACACAUGCUUUGUUUCAGGUGAUGGUAGAAAGAUAGUAUUUUGAUACGACAACUAUAGAGGUCACCUACUUGUGUUUGUAGCGCCCCGACAUCUAUUUGUCACUGUUAUUUAUAAAAUUACUUUUUACCUAUUAAAAAACCUUCUCUUUAUACAUUAUUUAAUGUGUUCCUUAUCCUGUAUCACUUGGUUCUCUCUUUUUGAUCAGAGGUCCAAUUUAACUGCUUCUUCAAACCUAUGUGUUGCCACAAAUAGUUUUAUGUUGAAAUAUCUUACAUAGAACUAUCUAAUGCUACUUCAUGCUACGAUGUAUCUACGAGUAGAUUCUUCGAGUCAUUUAUGUAUAAUUUAGCAACUCAUGAUGCUCCAUUUUGACAAUAUUAUCGAUCAUAUCGUGCAAAGUAUUAAAAUAAAGAUACUUUUUUUUUUUUUUGUUAACGAAACGUAAAUAGUGAAGUUGAUACACUUAACAGGAACUUGCCUUGACUAUUUCUUGUGUGUGCCCUUUUUCAAUAAUUUGCAAGGUACUGAAAAGCAAAUAUGUACUGUACAAGUAGAAUGUUACAUCUUCUUGAGCAUCCUUCUUUCGUUUUCUUCUUUUGGUUUUUUUUUUUUUUUUUGUGUGCAAGUUGUUUGAGUUGUGUUAACAUUUGAUGUCUUCCUUUUUUUGAGCCAAUCGAUGGUUUGGGAUUGUGUAUCUUUUGAGAUACAUGAAUGGAAAGACUUUGUUUUUAACUUAGUAGAUCAUCCCUUUCACUAAAACAUACACACAUCUUGAAUAAAUUGAUUCCUUGCAAUUUGUGGCUUAUAUACCUGACAGUACUAUUGUAAAUAAAGUUAUACAGUUGGCAGACACAUGGCACCAAGAUUAAACAUCGAUCAAAUAACAACCGAGACGCCAGAUUGGACUUCCAAAGUCCAAAUCAUUGACAUGAGGCGUGAGCGAGAAAGUCCUGAGAAGAAAAUCAAAUUCCAAAAUUUAAUUUUGGAAGAUGAAGAGGAGCAACAAAUUAGGGCCGUUGUGUAUGGUGAUGAUAUUGGCCAUUAUGCAGAGAAGCUUCAAAUCUCGCAGACAUAUCUGAUUUCCGCCGCAAGAGUUUGAGUUUCGCCCACUUUAUACGGCAAACCAAUACACAAGUUUUAUUGCGUAUUCGAUAAAGAAACUAUAAUUGAACAUAUUAAGCCAACUGACGAGCAUGAGAAACCACUCACCAUCAACUAAGCUGAAUAUCACAACUUUGGAUCACAUUGCUCAUAUGACUCCUCAUUCUUCUGUCGAAAUUGGUAUACCACUCCUACCAAUUACUAGCAUGAUAAAUUAUAUAUGCUUAUAGAUGUACGCACUCAUUAUAUUACCUUAUAUCUUACUAGCAGAUAGACUAGGAGUCGUCCUACGUUGUGGCCCUCCAAAAUAUGCAGGUCUCAAUCAAAACAGGUGCUGAGAGAUUAUUGUUUAUUUAAUCAGUAAGUACACCAUUCAUUUCAAAUUAUAUGCCCUUAUUUUCCUUCGGAAGUAUAUGCAUAUCCUUACGAUAGAUGCUUAAAAAAUUAGUAUUAUAUUCCCCACACUCUCAGGAAAAAACAGUUUCUACUCACUUUAUGGGAAGACUUCGGGAAAUUGAAGGGACUGAGCUCUAAGCUAAAAUGGGAAAGGAUGAAGAAUUCCCAGUAAUCCUCGGAAGGAAUAUAGGAAUAUCUUCUUUUCAGGGUAUGCACAUAGUCAAAUAUUUUACUUACAUAUUUUUAUUUAAUACAACAUUACACAUACAUUGUGCCAUACAGGUUUAUCGCUGCAAAUUAGAUUCAACUCAACAAUACACAUAAAUCCUGCUUACCCACAGGCGUUCGAGCUUAUCAACUGGUACUGACUUAUCAACUUUACUUUUUAACUUGCCCCUGAACAACAUAUUGAAUACUUUAUUUGGUGUGACAAUAGGGCAAAAACAAACACACACAUGCUUUCGAGUUAUGCAUCAGCCAACUUCUCUGCGACAUCAACGUCUCUCUCAGUAACUCCCACUCAGCAGCAAGUUAUCCCCAUUGCAGAAAUUUCAACACAAACUUCGAUUGGAGUUUUCUAUGUUCAGGCCGAAAUGUUUAUUUCAAAUGACCUGCAGAAAUUUUGUGUGCUUGAAUGUUCAGGAUACAAACAAAAAAAGCGCACGAAAGAAAGAAGAGAAUUUGCAUGCACAAAGUAGAUUCAAUUACGACAGUAAUUUCUGGAGAUAUAGCUGAGAAGAUGCUUUCCAUGAUAGCAGAACAUAUAUUUGAAAUAACUUUGGUCAAGAAUCAACUCCUGCCCAUUGACCAUGUUCAUAAGAUGUUGUCGGUUAAACUGUUCCUAAUUCAAUUAAAAAAGUCAUCCUGGAGAAGCUCAAACGACACACAAACAACUGUAUCAAUUCUGUCCUAUGUAGAAAGGGAACCUAUCUUUCCACCUAGCAUUAAUCAAAGGAACACCAAAAAAAAAUGAAGCCUCUAAGUACAAG